UCUCAGUUUGUAAAUUAAGGUAAUAACACCCAAUCAUUAGAUCACCCCUUUCUUCCCUCCCCAGCCUGGGAGAAUUUUUCUCUAUUCCAAGGGUGUUGGAGAAAGAAGAAUCCCCUCCUUCCUUUGCUGCUCCAAGAUAUUGUGUCUUUGCUCACAAAUCUGAAUUUUUCUAGGAGCUUAGGCAUUGAGAAGCAGAAGCCAGGAAGGUGGUAACAUACCUGUGUUUCCUGGACAGCCCCAUCCCAACAGGAUGGCAGACCUGGAACUUGCUCCUAAUCAAUAGAAUACAGCAAAGGCAUGGGAUGCAGGUGAUUCUGUGUACAUGGUUACGUAACUAAAUAGAUAAGAUUGUAGCACCUGUCUUGCUGGAGUGUUUCACACUCUUGCUGGCUUUGAUGAAGCAGGUGGCCAUUUGAGGCCCAACUGAGAGUGGCCUGUAAAACUGAGGGCAGCUGACAGCCAGCAAGAAAAUGAGCCUUCAGUCCUGUAAAUGCAAGGAACUGAAUUGUGCCAAGAGCUGCAUGAGCUUGGAAGCAGAUCCUUCCUCAGUCAAGCUUCCAGAUGAGGACCCAGUCCUGACCCAUACUUUGAUUGCAGGCUUGCAGAGGGCCCAGCUCAGCCAUUCCAAGAUUCUUGACCCACAGAAGCUGAGAGAAUACAUAUAUGCAUCGCCUGCCUCUGAAUUUGUGAUAAUAUUGUUCUGCAGAUAUCUAUAUCUAGCUAUCAUAAAUGAUGUAUGUAAACAACCACAUAUCACACAUUUGUUUGGCCAAGCAUGGUAUCCCAUCCCUCUGACCACGGUGAUUGGCACAGAUAAGGGCACUUGACAAAGCUAGGCCAAUCAGCCUUCUUCCCUGGGAUUUUGUAAACAAAGGCAGAGAAAAAGGAGCCUUGUCUUUCCUCUCCGCUUGCUCAGAUGGUAUGAAGUAAGUUUAUGGUUGUGAAAUUCAUGUUCUUCUCCUACAGCAUGGAGGAAACGCUACACAGCAGGAAAGAAUAAAACUGGCUCACAAAGAGGAGCCCUGAGACACACUGAAAAAGGCUGGUUGCCAUAAUCUGAGUAGCAGGGACUGCCACACCUGAGGCCAGCCCAGCCCUAGAUAUCCCAGGUACACGAGCCAUUAAAUUCCUCUUUUUGCUUGUCCUGGCUCCCAUUGUGUUCCCCGAGCUCCUGGAGGUCAGAGCAUCUGCCAACUUCCACAUAACGUCCCCAGAUGGCCCAGCUCAGAAAGUUUUUCCAGAAUAAGUAUAGUAAAUGGUGAAUGGAUGUGAGAACCUUACUAUAUGUCAAGGUCCCCAAAGAGCAUUCACUUAUAUGACCUUAUUUGAUCUUUACAAACAAUCCUGCAUAAUCAUUACUGCAUGAGUUAGAUGGUUUUGACCAUUAUUAUUGGGAAAACCCCAAUAAAAUGGCUUAAAUCAUAAGAGGAUUUACGAAUUCAUAUGAGAAUCUCCCCAGGGACAUUCCAGGCUCAUAAGUCCAUUCAGUUUUGCUUUCCUGUGAGUCUUACGGCUCCACACCUCUUGCCAUUGGCUUCAACCUGAGGUCAAUAUAAAGGUGGCAAGCAGCUCUGGGCAUCACAUGCAGACCUAGCAGUGCUCAGGGGAAGAGGAAUAACCAUCUCUUCCUUUCAUGUACUUUCUUCUUUUCAGACAUAUUUUUAAGUGAAAUUAUAUAUCUAUAUGUGUGUAUGUAUAUAUAUAUGUGUAUAUAUAUAUAUAUGUUGGUUUCAUUUUAGUUCUAGAGUCUUUUUUUUUUUUUUGAAAAAUGAUGUUAUUUUGCAGCUUACCCCCCUUGUGUUUCUAUCAGUUUUACAACAUUCUCUAAUUCAGUGGCUCUCAAGUGUGGUCUGGACCAUCAGCAUCACCAUCAUCUGGGAACUUACUUGCUACAAACACUUGAAUGAAUGCCUCCCAACCUGUUGACUCAGAAGCACUGAGAAUGGGCCUGACCAUCUGCAUUUUAGCGGGCCUCUGGGUGAUCCUGAUGUAUGCUCAAGUUUGAGAUCUACUGCUCUAAUUAACUUAUUUAUUUAUAUUUUUUGAGACAGAGCGAGAGCUCUGUUGCCUAGGCUGGAGUGCAGUGGUGUGAUCAUAGCUCACUACAACUUCAAAUGCCUGGGCACAAAAGAUCCUCCCACCUCAGCCCAAGUAGCUGGACUACAGGUGCACACCACCACACUCAGCUUAUUUUUUUUUAAAUAGAGACAGGGUCUCACUAUACUGCCCAGGCUGGUCUCAAACUCCUGGCCUCAAGAGAUCCUCCUGCCUCAGCCUCCCAAAGUGUUGGGAUUACAGGACAGGUGUGUACCACCACGCCAGCCCCCACUCUAAUUUAUUUAUCUAUUUCCCUGUUGACAUUCAAGUUGUUUCCAAUUUUUUGUUACCGGUGCUACCAUACAACCCUUUUUAAGUGCUUUUGCAUCCUGUAAGAACAUCUCUUCUCUCAAAUUUUUCCCGGUUAAUUUUUCAUGUUGACUUUUCCAGAUGAACUCUUCCAGAUGAGUGAGUCUGCUUGUAAAUUCCAGUCUCAGUGGGAUUACAUUGAAUAUAUGCUUUAAUUUGGGAAGGAUUGACAUCUUGACAAUAUUGAGUUUUUCCAUCAAAUAUUGAAAUCCUACAGGAUUUUUAAAGUAUAAGUCACACAAUUAUAUGUAAUUUAGGUAUGCUUUAUUAUUAUCCCAAAUGUAACAAUUGUAGAAGAUACUAUAAUGGUCUUCUCCUUUCACUGAAUUUUAUGAAAUUAGAAACAUAAUAAUGAAGGGUCAAGUGUAUGAUCUUCUUGUUUUUCUUGAGAUUGUCUCAUUUCUUAUGUUGGACUCUCAAUUGUUAUUCAGCUAUGCUUAUGUCUCUUUUUGAGAGCAAAGAAACCUUUCCCAGAAAUCCCCCUAAUAGACUUCCCAUGUUCUCUUGGCUAUGACAGUUUUAACAACGUCGCCCUUAAAUUAUACCCCUCCCUUUGAGACGUGAGGUCUAUACCCUCCCUUGAAUCUGAGCUAGGUGGGUCAAGUUCCUGCUUGACCAAUAAACUAGGACAAAAGUGACACUGCCAGUUUCUUAGGGCUCAGACCAUAAAAAACCAUCAGCUUCUACUUCUUGUCUCUUGGGACACUCACUUUUGGAACCCAGCCAAGCAGGGGUCCCCUGGCCCUCAGCCUAGGCUGGGUGACCAGUCUACAGCUGGCACAACUUGCCAGCCAUGUGAGUGAGCCCUCUUGGAAAUGGGCCCUUCAGUCCCAGUCAUCUUGGCCCACCUGACACCACAUGGCAGAGACAAGUCGUCCUCACUGAUUCCUGCCCCAAUUACAGUUGUGUUGAGCAAAAGAAAUGCUGUUAUUUUAAGUUUUGAAGUAGUUUGUUAGGCUGCAGUAGCUGACUGUGCCAAUGGCACAGCACACUUCGAUGCCUCAACCACUCACUGGUGUGAGGACUGGGACCUCUGUGAAUGACUUAAACCACCCAGAACCCUCCCCCAGAGGGUGGGGCUAGUGCUAUUAAUAGAACUGGGUUAGUUACCCUGUGGCUGGGCACAGUGGCUCACGCCAGUAAUUUCAGCACUUUGGGAGGCCGAGGCUGGCAGAUCACUUGAAGACAGGAGUUUGAGACCAGCCUGGUGGCCAACAUGGCGAAACCCUGUCUUUACUAAAAAUACAAAAAUUAGCCGGGUGAUAUGGCACAUGCCUGUAGUCCUAGCUACUCGAGAGGCUGAGGCAGGAGAAUUGCUUGAACUCGGGAGGUGGAGGUUGCAGUGAGCUGAGAUUGUGCCACUGCACUCCAGCCUGGGCGACAGAGUGAGACUCCAUCUCCCCCAAAAAAAGAAAAAUUAUCCUUGGGACUUUAAGUUGCUCAGCAAGUCAGUAUACAUAGUAUCAUAGUAUUGUGUAUACAACUCUUUACAGUAAUAUGCAUGUAUAAAUGUAUCAUGGAUAUAUAAUGUGUAGUAUGCAAGAAAGAGUGCAUAUUCAACUAUACUUGCACAGUAUUUUUUAUUAAAAACAUCUUGAGCGUGAAUCAUUACAUGACUGUCAAUUAAAUGCAUACAAGAUAAACACCACUGUAAAUGCUAGAAGAAGGACUCAAUCAUUGAAUAAACAAAGGAAUGAG